GGCACGAACUUCUGAAUGGACCCUUUGUCC
rnacentral:piRNA from 1 species